AAGCAGCAGAACUUUCAGCCAUGCAGGCCAGGGACAGCCAGUGAGAAUGAGAACUCAGCCCAGGAGGCCAGACUGAGUGCCAGUGAGAGAGGUGGAGGAGCUGAAGAAGGAGAAUGCAGACAGGCAAAAAAGUGUCAUUCUACGCUGCUUUGACUUACUCUGGGAGGAUAGGACCCUUCAAUGCUGACGUCCCACUGGUCUACAGUAAAGUCUUCCCCAACAAAUCGGAAAGGCCUACAACUCACUUACAGGUAAUAGCUACAACUACCGACCUACCUACAUGUAUGGACAUGAGAGUACAUUCUGGGCCAGCUAAUGUUACUGAGUGCUGAUGGAAAUUGUUGAUCUCUUCCUGUUUCGGUUUCUGCUCUGGUGCAGAUAUAAGUGAUAAAAGUCGACUAAAUCAGAUUCACUGCCAGUGAUGCCCCUAGCCCAGGAGACAUUGGUGUUUACAUAUACAAGAAUGACAAGAGAAUCAUGUUUAAUUAUGCACACAGUCCUGGUGGAAAUGGUAGAUUUGUGGUAAAUGCAGUGACUCUAGAGCUGCAGGUGGGUGUGGUCUACAUGAGUCUCCCCUCAGGCAGGGGGCUGUAUGAUGAUUCAGAUAACCUCAAUGUCAACAGUGGCUUCCUGCUCUUCCCUAUGUGAGGGGAAUCAUUUCAAAUCAUAGGCCCAAUAAAACGAUGUAACUGUCACGCCCUGACCUUA